rnacentral:rRNA from 1 species
UAGUGAGUUUGAUCCUGGCUCAGGACGAACGCUGGCGGCGUGCCUAAUACAUGCAAGUCGAGCGGAUGACAGAGGAGCUUGCUCCUCUAGAUUCAGCGGCGGACGGGUGAGUAACACGUGGGCAACCUGCCCUGUAGAUUGGGAUAACUCCGGGAAACCGGGGCUAAUACCGAAUAAUCCUUCGGACCUCAUGGUCCGAUGUUGAAAGGCGGCUUCGGCUGUCACUACAGGACUGGGCCCGCGGCGCAUUAGCUAGUUGGUGAGGUAACGGCUCACCAAGGCCACGAUGCGUAGCCGACCUGAGAGGGUGAC